rnacentral:rRNA from 1 species
GGACCUGCGUCAGGAAGACUCGGGUAGGGCUUCCCGUGACUGGGGCCGUCUUGUCGUGGGGCUUCCGUCGUUCCAGACGCAUUUGUCUCUCGUCCGAAGGACGCUGUAGCCGGUUUGGAAGUGCAAGCGCGGCGGCCUGAAGGUCGGGAAAUGGCAGGUGGCCGGCGGCUCGCCUCGUGCGGGUUGUCGGUUGUUAGCCGUCCCGUCAGUGGCUCGUCUCCAGACCGAGGUGUCGCGAGUCCCGUUAGGGACUCCUCGUCUCCACCCCAGGGUUGCGAGACUGGUCGUGGCAAGGGCUCCGUAUUCCCACCGUCGCACUACUAAGGAGUGGGCGGAGGGCUGCGGGUCCCCGUUGGCUGCGACGGACUCGUGGGGGGCUCGAGGCUGACAGCGAGUAGGUCGGUCACCCACCCGACCCGUCUUGAAACACGGACCAAGGAGUCUAACAUGUGCGCGAGUCAAUGGGUCUUGACUAGGCCCAGGGGCGCAAUGAAAGCGAAGGAAUGCCUAGCGCAGUCUGAGUGGGGAUCCCUCCCUCUCGAGGGGGGGCGCACCCACGACCCGUCCUAUCCGGCUCGCCGGUUGGGCGGAGUCUGAGCGUACACGUUGGGACCCGAAAGAUGGUGAACUAUGCCCGGACAGGACGAGGCCAGAGGAAACUCUGGUGGAGGUCCGCA